ensembl:misc_RNA 7SK 7SK RNA
GGAGGUGAGGGUGAUCUGGCUGUGACAUCUGUCACUCCACUGAUCACCGGAGUUGACUUGGCUGAUCUGGCUGGCUAAGCAGGUGCCCCUUUCCUCCCUCACUGCUCCAUGUGCAUCCUUUCUAACACAACGCUCUCAGAGUGGACAACCGUCCCCCAUAGAGGAGGAGGAUUCCUCAUCAAAACUAUAAAAGUAGGUGUGCCCUCCUCCUUGAACCCACAAAAAGUGCUCAAAGUCCAUUUGUAGGAAAAGGUAGGGUAGUCAAUCUCCAAUACUCCAGACACAUCAAAAUGAGGUACUCCAUGUGACACUCUGCUUUUCAUU